CACUUCAAUUUUUAAAAAGCUCCAAAAAAACAAAGGGAGGUGAUGAUUAAGCUCCACUUAUUUUUAAGAUAUGUUGCUCACCACUUUCUUCACAACCACUCCUGGAUAUGACUCUAAUGGAGCUAUCAUGCAGUUUCAGCUUGUACCCACAUAAGGAAGCCCCCAUAAGAGGCAAAGGUGUAAGUUAUAGGGAGAGGUGAUGGCUAACAAGCAAGUCUGAGCUAACUGCUCAUGCAGCUUACUCAUGCCUUCCACCAGAAAAGUAAUGUCUCUACUUAUAAUAAACUACUGUGCUCACUCAAAUUUAUGACUUCAUUGUAGCCCAACAAAACCUAACUCAAUUGGGCAGCUCUGGGUGGCUGGUCACUUGGUAUCCCAUGGUCCAGUGUUCUAUCUCUACCAGGGCCCAAUGGCGUGUAGAAACUAUUCCCAAGAGGCAUUUAAUUCUCCACUUCAAAUGGCAUGACCUUGCUGCAGAACCCACAAUUUAGGGCCUAAAUUAUGAUUCUAUUUUUACACACACCUCCACCUGAAUUCAUAUGUUGAAGCCCUAUUUCCAACGUAACUGUAUUUGGAGACAGGAUCUUUAGAAGAUAAAGUUAAAAGAUUUUAUAAAGGUUGGGCCUUAAUCCAUAGGACUGGUGGACCCAUUAGAAAAGCAACUCUCUCUGACUCUGUCAUGUGAGGACAGAGCAAGAGGAUGGCCAUCUGCAAGCCGGGAAGAGGCCCUUAAUAGGAACUGACUCUGCCAGAAAUGGAUAUGGGACUUCUAGCCUCCAGAACUUUGAGGAAAUAAAUUUCUGUUAUUUAAGCCACCCAGUUCUGUGGCAUUUUGUUAUGGUAAACUGAAGUUACCAAGACAAGCUGCUAUGUCACAGCCUGGAUCUGCUGCACAGCUCUUUCCUGUUCCAGACACCACACAAAGAUGAUUCCCUUUUAUGUCAAACCAUGUAUGAGCCAAAGGGAUAUUCCUAUGAAACAUAUUGCCUUAGAAAACCCAGGGAGACCUGCAAACCAUGGUACUUCCAUUUUGGAAUUAAGAAAGCAAAAUGCAGCCAUUUACCUUUUUCUUUGGAGGGGAGGUCCCAACAUGCCCCUGACAAGUAGAUGUCUAAAAUUUUUACAGAAAGAGCAGGUGCUUGAAUCUUCAGAGGGUUCAUCGUACGCCCUCUGGAGUGUACGUUUUACCAAGCUCUUCAUUCUGCCCUUGCUCAUCCUAAUGUUAUUGAUGUAAUGAACCAAUAUCAUGUUUUACAGUUAUAUCCAGGUGGUCUUCAGAUUAUGACACACAACAGGAGAAUUAUGCCAGUCCCAGUACAAAUCUGUCAACGUGCAGGGGAACACUCUGGCCAAUGCGAUGAUUCAGGUCUUUAUGACAUGAUCAUCUAUGUAAGAAAUCCGAAAGAAUCAACAAAAACUCCUGGGACUAAUAAGUGAUUACAGUGAAGUUGCAGGAUACAAAGUUUUGGAAGCUGGGAAGUUCCAGAUUCAAGGCUCCAGAAAGUCCAAGAUUCAAGGCACCAGCAGGUUUUGUUGUCUGGUGAGGGCUGCAUCCUCCAGAGAGGAAGAACUUCAUGUUUUCUCAUGGCAUAUGGACAGGAGAGCAAGCUAGUGGAAUGUUGCAUGACACCUCUUUCACAAGGUCCUUAAUUCUGGUAAGCAGUGAGGAGCCUUCAUAGCCUAAUCACCUCUGAAAGGACCCAUUCUUUAAUACUAUCACAUUGACAAUACUAGAAUUUUGGAAGGAAUACAUUCAAACCACAGAAAAUACAUCAUACUGAAUUGUUCCACCAAUAACUGUACAUUGUUUAACUAUCUUUACAAAUUAAGAAAAAUUAAAUAUUCAGAAUUCUAGGA